UACGAAGGGGACUAGCGUUGUUCGGAAUCACUGGGCGUAAAGCGCACGUAGGCGGAUGUGUCAGUCAGGGGUGAAAUCCCGGGGCUCAACCUCGGAACUGCCUUUGAUACAGCACGUCUCGAGUCCGGAAGAGGUGGGUGGAAUUCCUAGUGUAGAGGUGAAAUUCGUAGAUAUCAGGAGGAACACCAGUGGCGAAGGCGGUGCUCUGGGCCGGAACUGACGCUGAGGAGCGAAAGCGUGGGGAGCAAACAGG
rnacentral:rRNA from 1 species